rnacentral:tRNA from 1 species
UCCCUGGUGGCUUAGAUGGUAAAGCAUCUGCCUGCAGUGCAGGAGAUCUGGGUUCGAUCCCUUGGUUGGGAA